UUCCCUUUCCCAGGACACACGCCAUGGGAGUCCCAAGGCCCUGUGUGACAAGGCUGGCUGCAAAGUGUGGAUUGAGAGACACGUGGAGAAACAGAUGCCAAACAGGCUCCAGCUCCACCAGUCCCCGCAAGGAGCCUCCCAGCCCUGGUGCCAGGUCACCAGCCCCCACUGAUGUGCACCGAAGAGACACCGUCAGACUUUGAGAGUUCCUCUUAGAAUACCAAGAGUUAAUUUCCCAUCAUGAGGCUACUGUUUCUUCUGUUUCUCCUCCUUGUGUGUCUUAUCCAGAUGACAUCAGGAGAAUCUAUGCCUCCCAAAGGAAAACUAUGGACCUGGGGGAACAAGAACCAGAAGCGAGGUCUCCUAAUUCUGGACCCAGUAUGCCUUCCAUCACAGCACGGCGCUUUUAAAAGCCAUCACCUCUGAUGGAAAUUCUUCUUACUCAUAGCUUCCUGCUUGUCAUUCUCUUUCUUGUUCCCUUGACUUUAGGCAUCAUUCGAGUUCUCGCUACUCUCAAGUUGCUUCCUGAAUUGCUAUAGUCAACCAACUUGAUGGCCUAUCAUUUUUUUUGCAGCUUAACUCACAGGAGCCCGAGAAGGCAGGUGCUCACUGCAUGCCAUGGCGGUGCCGUUUAAAAUGUCACAGUGCACGAAAUGACUCUCAUUGCAUGGGAGAUGGGAGGCAGAAUAUUCAGCACUGAGGAUGCUCACUUUCUGUCCAAAGCUUUUUGUCUAUUUUGUGCUAUGUGCUUGUAAGAUUUUGCCCUUUUGAAAAAGAGGACAGCUCCUUAGGAAGCUUUCAUGAAGAACAUGUAGAGUAUAUCCCUAAUCUCAGAGCACAGCCAAGUCACUUUCUCUCCCUGAUCUGAAGUUCCUUCAUCUGAAAAAGAAAGACACUAUAGUGCAGAAGUCAAUAAGCGUUAUUUGGUAAAAGACCAUGUAAUAAAUAAAUCUUUUAGGCUUCUGGGCCAUGAGGUCUGUCAUGACAACUCAUCUCUGCCACGAAAAGCAACCAUAGACAAUAUCUAAAUGAACGGGUGUGAAUGUCUUCCUAUUUAUGGACACUAGAAUUUGAGUUUCAUAUAAUUUUCAUAUAUCGUGAAGUAUUUUUCUUCUUCUGAAGUUUUGUCUAC